AACAUGUCAUAAACACAUAAUGAUUUCAUCAACCCGUCAGACGUAUUCAAAAAAGAAGCUUGAUUUUGCAGAAACCCGCCCAAUCUGGCAACACAGAGGCACUCCGGUCAUAGAGCUGUUUUAUACAAUUUUGGAGUCGUUUGACUUUUCUGCUUUGAAGAGGU